GAUUACAAUACAGCUUCUCUGUAAUCGCGGCUG
rfam:Fermentimonas caenicola genome assembly, chromosome: chrI